rnacentral:rRNA from 1 species
GAUGAACGCUGGCGGCGUGCCUAAUACAUGCAAGUCGAGCGAACAGACGAGGAGCUUGCUCCUUCGACGUUAGCGGCGGACGGGUGAGUAACACGUAGGUAACCUACCUAUAAGACUGGGAUAACUUCGGGAAACCGGAGCUAAUACCGGAUAAUAUUUCGAACCGCAUGGUUCGAUAGUGAAAGAUGGCUUUGCUAUCACUUAUAGAUGGACCUGCGCCGUAUUAGCUAGUUGGUAAGGUAACGGCUUACCAAGGCAACGAUACGUAGCCGACCUGAGAGGGUGAUCGGCCACACUGGAACUGAGACACGGUCCAGACUCCUACGGGAGGCAGCAGUAGGGAAUCUGCCGCAAUGGGCGAAAGCCUGACGGAGCAACGCCGCGUGAGUGAUGAAGGUCUUCGGAUCGUAAAACUCUGUUAUUAGGGAAGAACAAACGUGUAAGUAACUGUGCACGUCUUGACGGUACCUAAUCAGAAAGCCACGGCUAACUACGU